AUACUAACCUUGCGCAGGGAUUACCGUGAUCAUGAAGGCGGUUACCCCGGGCUGGCUCCGGUCAUUGCACCGCGGCCGGGACAGGCCAGUCUGUGACUAUCCCAAACUGGGAUACGUCGUGCGUGUAAUUUUUGGUAGUUAGGACUAGCGUUCUGCGCAGUCCUUU
rfam:Danaus plexippus plexippus isolate F-2 unplaced genomic scaffold DPSCF300262, whole genome shotgun sequence.